rnacentral:rRNA from 1 species
ACGAACGCUGGCGGCGUGCUUAACACAUGCAAGUCGAACGGGGUCUUAGAGAGGAAAGCUUCGGCAGGAAUCUUUAAGAUCUAGUGGCGAACGGGUGAGUAACGCGUGAGGAACCUGCCUCAAACAGGGGGAUAACACUUGGAAACAGGUGCUAAUACCGCAUAAGACCACAGGAUCGCAUGGUCCAGGGGUCAAAGCUCCGGCGGUUUGAGAUGGCCUCGCGUCCCAUUAGGUAGUUGGUGAGGCAACGGCUCACCAAGCCGACGAUGGGUAGCCGAGCUGAGAGGCUGAUCGGCCACACUGGGACUGAGACACGGCCCAGACUCCUACGGGAGGCAGCAGUGGGGAAUAUUGGGCAAUGGGCGCAAGCCUGACCCAGCAACGCCGCGUGAAGGAAGAAGGUUUUCGGAUUGUAAACUUCUGUCCUCAAGGACGAAGGACGUGACGGUACUUGAGGAGGAAGCCCCGGCUAACUACGUGCCAGCAGCCGCGGUAAUACGUAGGGGGCAAGCGUUGUCCGGAAUUACUGGGCGUAAAGGGAGCGUAGGCGGCAGCUUAAGUCAGAUGUGAAAUACCCGGGCUUAACCUGGGGGGUGCAUCUGAAACUGGGCAGCUUGAGUGUGGGAGAGGAAAGUGGAAUUCCUAGUGUAGCGGUGAAAUGCGUAGAUAUUAGGAGGAACACCAGUGGCGAAGGCGGCUUUCUGGACCAUAACUGACGCUGAGGCUCGAAAGCGUGGGGAGCAAACAGGAUUAGAUACCCUGGUAGUCCACGCUGUAAACGAUGAAUACUAGGUGUAGGGGGUAUCAACUCCCUCUGUGCCGCAGCAAACGCAAUAAGUAUUCCGCCUGGGGAGUACGGUCGCAAGACUGAAACUCAAAGGAAUUGACGGGGGCCCGCACAAGCAGCGGAGCAUGUGGUUUAAUUCGAAGCAACGCGAAGAACCUUACCAAGGCUUGACAUCCACUUAAAGCCAUUGAAAGAUGGUGUCUCUUCGGAGGAAGUGAGACAGGUGGUGCAUGGUUGUCGUCAGCUCGUGUCGUGAGAUGUUGGGUUAAGUCCCGCAACGAGCGCAACCCUUAUUGCCAGUUACCAGCACGUAGAGGUGGGGACUCUGGUGAGACCGCCGGGGACAACUCGGAGGAAGGUGGGGACGACGUCAAAUCAUCAUGCCCCUUAUGUCUUGGGCUACACACGUGCUACAAUGGCAGUUACAGAGGGCAGCGAAGCCGCAAGGCGGAGCGAAUCUCAGAAAAGCUGUCCCAGUUCGGAUUGUGGGCUGCAACCCGCCCACAUGAAGUCGGAGUUGCUAGUAAUCGCGAAUCAGCAUGUCGCGGUGAAUACGUUCCCGGGCCUUGUACACACCGCCCGUCACACCAUGGGAGUUGCAAGCGCCCGAAGUCAGUAUCCUAACCAUAUGGAGGGAGCUGCCGAAGGUGAGAGCAAUGACUGGGGUG